GGGCGCGUAACUCAGGGGUAGAGUGCUACCUUCACACGGUAGAAGUCGGCGGUUCGAGACCGUCCGCGCCUACCA
rnacentral:tRNA from 1 species